CCUACGGGCGGCAGCAGUGAGGAAUAUUGGUCAAUGGUCAGGAGACUGAACCAGCCAAGCCGCGUGAGGGAUGAAGGUACAGAGUAUCGUAAACCUCUUUUGUCAGGGAACAAAGGCGGGGACGUGUCCCCGGAUGAGUGUACCUGAAGAAAAAGCAUCGGCUAACUCCGUGCCAGCAGCCGCGGUAAUACGGAGGAUGCGAGCGUUAUCCGGAUUUAUUGGGUUUAAAGGGUGCGAAGGCGGUCUGUUAAGUCAGCGGUAAAAGCCCGGGGCUCAACCCCGGUCCGCCGUUGAAACUGGCAGUCUCGAGUUGGAGAGAAGUAUGCGGAAUGCGCGGUGUAGCGGUGAAAUGCAGAGAUAUCGCGCAGAACUCCGAUUGCGAAGGCAGCAUGCCGGCUCCACACUGACGCUGAGGCACGAAAGCGUGGGUAUCGAACAGGAUUAGAUACCCCAGUAGUC
rnacentral:rRNA from 1 species